rnacentral:rRNA from 1 species
UACGAAGGGUGCAAGCGUUACUCGGAAUUACUGGGCGUAAAGCGUGCGUAGGCGGUUUGUUAAGUCCGCUGUGAAAGCCCUGGGCUCAACCUGGGAAUUGCAGUGGAUACUGGCAAGCUAGAGUGCGGUAGAGGAUGGUGGAAUUCCCGGUGUAGCGGUGAAAUGCGCAGAUAUCGGGAGGAACACCAAUGGCGAAGGCAGCUCGCUGGGACGGUACUGACGCUGAGACGCGAAAGUCAGGGGAGCAAACGGG